rnacentral:rRNA from 1 species
GAUGAACGCCGGCGGUGUGCCUAAUACAUGCAAGUCGUACGCACUGGCCCAACUGAUUAAUGGUGCUUGCACCUGAUUGACGAUGGAUCACCAGUGAGUGGCGGACGGGUGAGUAACACGUAGGUAACCUGCCCCGGAGCGGGGAGUAACAUUGGUAAACAAGAUGCUAAUAACCGCAUAACAACAAAAGACCACCAUGGCUUUGUUUGAAGAAUGGCUUUGGUCUAUCACUCUGGGAGUGGACCUGCGGUGCAUUAGCUAGUUGGUAAGGUAAACGGCUUACCAAGGCGAUGAUGCAUAGCCGAGUUGAGAGACUGAUCGGCCACAAUGGAACUGAGACACGGUCCAUACUCCUACGGGAGGCAGCAGUAGGGGAUCUUCCACAAUGGGCGCAAGCCUGAUGGAGCAACACCGCGUGAGUGAAGAAGGGUUUCGGCUCGUAAAGCUCUGUUGUUGGAGAAGAACGUGCGUGAGAGU